GACGAACGCUGGCGGCGUGCUUAACACAUGCAAGUCGAACGGAAAGGCCCUGCUUUUGUGGGGUGCUCGAGUGGCGAACGGGUGAGUAACAAGUGAGUAACCUGCCCUUGACUUUGGGAUAACUUCAGGAAACUGGGGCUAAUACCGGCUCGGAGCUCCUGCUGCAUGGUGGGGGUUGGAAAGUUUCGGCGGGUGGGGAUAGACGCGCGGCUUAUCAGCUUGCUGGUGGGGUAGUGGCUUACCCCGGCUUUGGCGGGUAGCCGGCAUGGGAGGGUGACCGCCCUCAUGGGGCCUGCGAGAGGGCCCAGACUCCAAUGGGAGGCAGCAGGGGGGAGUAUGGUACAGUGGGGGGAAGCCUGUGGCAGAAGCGUCGCGGGUGGGAUGACGGCCUUGCGGGGGGAAACCGCGUACGGUUGUGACGAAGCGUGAUUGACGUUAAUGGGUGAAGAAGCACCGGCUAACUACGUG
rnacentral:rRNA from 1 species